CCUACGUGUGGCAGCAGUGAGGAAUAUUGGUCAAUGGGAGGAAUCCUGAACCAGCCAUGCCGCGUGCAGGACGACGGCUCUACGAGUUGUAAACUGCUUUUGUACCGGGGUAAAAUGCCUUACGUGUAGGGUUUUGAAAGUACGGUACGAAUAAGGAUCGGCUAACUCCGUGCCAGCAGCCGCGGUAAUACGGAGGGUGCGAGCGUUAAUCGGAAUUACUGGGCGUAAAGCGCUCGUAGGCGGUAUGUCAAGUCAACGGUGAAAUCCCCGGGCGCAACGUGGGAACUGCCUUUGAAACUGGCAAACGGGAGUUGGUGAGAGGAUAGUGGAAUUCCAGGUGUAGGAGUGAAAUCCGUAGAUAUCUGGCGGAACAUCAGUGGCGAAGGCGACUAUCUGGCACAUAACUGACGCUGAGGAGCGAAAGCGUGGGUAGCAAACAGGAUUAGAUACCCGGGUAGUC
rnacentral:rRNA from 1 species